UACAGAGGUCCCAAGCGUUUGUUCGGAUUCACUGGGCGUAAAGGGUGCGUAGGUGGCGAGGUAAGUUUGAUGUGAAAUCUCCGAGCUCAACUCGGAAACUGCAUUGAAUACUAUCUUGCUAGAGGGUUGGAGGGGAGACUGGAAUUCUCGGUGUAGCAGUGAAAUGCGUAGAUAUCGAGAGGAACACCAGUGGCGAAGGCGAGUCUCUAGACAACUCCUGACACUGAGGCACGAAAGCUAGGGGAGCAAACAGG
rnacentral:rRNA from 1 species